UUACUACAUUGCUGCUUAAUGGGACAGACUCUUCCUCAUGUCAUCCCUCAUGCCUGAGCUUAGUAGGUGUUCUGUUCCUGUGAUGAAUUACGUUUAUUGAUUUGCAUAUGUUGAACCAGCCUCGCAUCCUGGCAAUGACACCAACUUGAUCGUGGUGGGAACUAAACAUAAAAUGAAGCAUGAUAAAUGAGUUAAUUUUAGCACCACUGAAAGAAAAUCUGCGAACAGGUAAUUAUAU
rnacentral:lncRNA from 13 species